GGAAAAUUAGUUAAUCUAUAACAUAAGAAUGUCAAUCUUAAAUUACCUUAAAGUAUUUUCUA
rnacentral:tRNA from 1 species